rnacentral:tRNA from 1 species
GGCAACGUGGCCGAGUGGUGAUGGCGACUGCCUCGAAAACAUAUAUCGCAAGCAGUUUCCUUCGGGAGCGUAGGUUCGAAUCCUGCCGUUGUCG